AACUUAACACUAAACUUGCGUGAUAUCUCUGUUGGAAUUUUGGUGAAAAAGAGCAGAGUCUAUUUUUCAUGACUCCAUAUACCCCUAUGGGCUGGCAAGUAGAUAAUUUAACAUUAUGUAAAACGCUGAUACCCAGUUUUAAUAACUAAGUUAGAUUGGCCAUUAAAGUGUGCCCAUUAAAGUGACUGCUAGAGUAAUUCAUGAAAAAAAAUCUUUUCAGCCUAUUACAGAUUUCAGAAAG
rnacentral:lncRNA from 1 species